rnacentral:rRNA from 1 species
GGGAAACUGCGUACGGCUCAUUACACCAGCCUUAAUUUACUUGACCUUGACAACCUACUUGGAUAACUGUGGUAAUUCUAGAGCUAAUACAUGCACCAAAGCUCCGAUCCUCGCGGAGAGGAGCGCAUUUGUUCGCCACAAAACCAAGCCCCCAUCUGGGCGUCCAGUGCUGAACCAGAACAACUCAGCUGAUCGCACGGUCUUGUACCGGCGACGUGUCUUUCAAGUGUCUGCCUUAUCAACUUUCGAUGGUAGUGUACCUGACUACCAUGGUUGUGACGGGUAACGGAGGAUAAGGGUUCGACUCCGGAGAAGGGGCCUGAGAAAUGGCCACUACGUCUAAGGAUGGCAGCAGGCGCGCAAAUUACCCACUCUCAACGCGAGGAGGUAGUGACGAGAAAUAACGAGACCGUUCUCAUACGAGGCCGGUUAUUGGAAUGGGUACAAUUUAAA